rnacentral:rRNA from 1 species
UACAGAGGGUGCAAGCGUUGUUCGGAAUUAUUGGGCGUAAAGCGCGUGUAGGCGGCUUUGCAAGUCGGGUGUGAAAGCCCUCAGCUUAACUGAGGAAGGGCGCUCGAAACUGCAGAGCUUGAGUACCGGAGAGGAUGGCGGAAUUCCCCAAGUAGAGGUGAAAUUCGUAGAUAUGGGGAGGAACACCGGUGGCGAAGGCGGCCAUCUGGACGAGUACUGACGCUGAGACGCGAAAGCGUGGGGAGCGAACAGG